ACGCCUGCAAUACGGAAGUUGCACAGCUUUGGGGAGGACCCUAAUGCCUGGAAAAGUUGAGAGAAGAGCUACGCCCAAAACAGGACCCCUCCCGUCGAUCUUCUUCUGCUCGACGAUAAGCAGCCCUUUUCUCCCGCAAACAAUGGACUGACCGUGUUCCCAAAUCUCCAGAGAAAAUCAAUACCAAACCAGAUAAAAGUAAACAAAGCUAACCAUGGUUGCCUGAGACUUGCCGGAGAAACGAGCUCCAGCAGUUCGCCGGAUUAACGAGCUCCAGCCGCAACUCCAAAGAAUCAGACCCUCAUAACUGUUACCCUAUCUCCUUCACAAAAUCAAAAAAGAAACGGAGUUACGCAUAGGAGAUUCGGGUUUGAGUUCGAGGUCCAAUCAUGAGGUUUAAGUUGGUGAUUCCACUUUAGUUCGCGAUUCCAUUCGAGUCGGAUGGCUUUUCGAUUUCUGAUUGAGGCUAUGGUUCCAUUUCUUUCAUGCAAUUGCUGGAUUUUAGUUUAUCAAUCGAGAGGCUAUUCGGGUUCGUCACAAAUUUUUUUGCUCUAUUUUGAUGCGAUUAAAGUAUGAGAAAAGUUAGAUACUUGAGUUGCUAAAUAUUAAUGGAUAAUUUGGUGAUUUAUUAUCGAUGAUUAUUUGAUAUAUGAGACUACUGAUUCAUGUUUGAGAUGUUAUAAGCUAGGUGAGCUAACUUAAUUGUUGUUGGUGUAAUGGAAUUUUUGUUGGUUUCUGCAUUGUCUUCAUGAAAGCUGGAUCUGUAUUGGUCUAAAAUGAUCUUGAUUCCUAUUAUGGCUACAUAUGUAGUUCCAUCUAUGAGAUUCUUGGGCUUUGUGGUUUUCAUUUUGUUAGUUUGUCGCGCAUUUUGGCGUGAAUGUUAAACUGGAAUUAAUUUCCGUUUAAGUGUGGUUUGUUUGAUGCUAUGUAAUAGUGAUUUUGAGGUAAUGAAAAUUGGCGGCAUUGUUUUGGUGUAUUUUUUGUGUUUAGUGUGUUAGAGGAGAGGAUGAUGGGCUUUGCUUACUAUUCAUAGCAGCCGAAUGCUUCACAUUGUGGUGAAGUAUUGAACUACAAGAUAUUAGAUAAGAAAAGCAGUUGUGAUGUAGGAUUGAAUAAUAAAUUGCUUGAAAAUGCUAGGAUUUUAUGUAAGAAAAGGCUGAGGAAGAGAUUGAAAUGGAGUAUGGCAUGCAGG
rnacentral:lncRNA from 1 species